GGGAGGGUGCGGUUCGGGCGCCGGUUUUCUGGGCUGCGGGCAGGCGGGCCGGCGGCGGCGGUGGCACCCCGCGGCGCCCAGACGCGGAAUCGCGCUGUGCCGGGUGGAAGAUGAGGCACAGCGCAGAGCGGGUGGGCAGGACCGGGGUCGUGCUGGGCUGGGGGCGCGGCGCCAGGAAAGAGGGGCUGGUGUUUCGGGGACGGGAGGUGAAGGCCGCCCAGGAAGAAACGGCCGCGAGCGUCUGGUGAGAGCUGGAGAUCGGAAGAGCAGGGUAUGUUGCAAUAUGUACAGAGAGGAUUGUCACAGAAGAGAAGGAAGGAUGGACAACAUGUAGAAAGCUGUACCUAUAGUGCACACAUCGGCUCUGGAUGGAGUAGAAGAGCACAAGUUUUCGUUUGCCCACCUUGGGGAGGUUAGCAGUCCCUUUGUGGUGGUGUGUGAAAUAACCAAAUGAUAGUGUGGAGAA